AGAAAUGCUUCUGAUCCUGAUGGUAAACUUGGGAAAGCCACUGCCAAGAAUCUGCUUCAAACCCAAUUUAGGAAUUUCACUGAGGUUGUCCACUGAGUUUGAUGAACGAGCUAACAUGUGGGCACAGUGGGUCAGAGCGGCAAUACCAGUUGAAUCUCUGAGCAUGUAUUCAAAUGGCAAAAUACUCGGAUCAUCUUGCUGUGAGAAACCAAAGAAGGAAUUCUGAACACUAAAUAAAUAUAGUGUUUGAAGUAUGAAUAAGAGUAAACUACUAUAUGAUUUAAUUUUUCUGACACCUUCUACAUUGACUUACAUGAUGUCCUAUGCAUAAGUUUAUACUUUGGGCAAUACUGGCCUAUGGAAAUCUUACAAGAAAGAAAAAAUGGCCAAUACCCAAGCCUAAACCACCAAGAUUUACUCUGCUUCCUGUGACGAUCAAGAGCCUAGUCUAACAAAAUAUGUAAAAGUUGUCUGUAAAUUCUUAGUGUGGUCUGAGAUAUUAAAAAGAUAAUAAUUGUCUUUCU
rnacentral:lncRNA from 1 species